rnacentral:lncRNA from 1 species
GGCGGCCCUACAGGAAGGGGAUGGGAUGGGAUGGGGGGGGGGGAUGGAAGGGGGACCCCAUGGAGGGCAUUGUCGGCACACGGAGUGCAUCGCCGCCCCAUAGAACCUAUCAGCGCCCCAUAGAACCUAUUAGCACCCCAUAGAGCCCAUUGUUACCCCAUAGAGGCCAUUGUUAUCCCAUAGAACCCAUUGUUACUCCAUAGAGCCCAUUAUCACCUCAUAGAACCUAUUAUCACCCCAUAGAGCCCUUUAUCACCCCAAAGAACCUAUUGUUACCCCAUAGAGCCCAUCAUCACCCCAUAGAGCCCACUGUCACCCCAUAGAGCCCAUUGUUAACUCAUAGACCCCUCUGCCACCCCAUAGAGCCCAUUGUUACCCCAUAGAGCCCAUUGUUGCUCCAUAGAGCCCAUUAUUACCCAAUAGAACCUAUUAUCACCCCGUAGAACCCAUUGUUACCCCAUAGAGCCCAUCGUCACCCCAUAAAGCCCACUGUCACCCCAUAGAGCCCAUUAUUACCCCAUAGAGCCCAUUGUUACCCCAUAGAACUUAUUAUCACCGCAUAGAACCCAUUGUUACCCCAUAGAGCCCAUUGUCACCCCAUAGAGCCCAUUAUCACCCCAUAGAGCCCUUUAUCACCCCAUAGAACUUAUUAUCACCCCAUAGAACCCAUUGUUACCCCAUAGAACCCAUUGUUACCCCAUAGAACCCAUUGUUACCCCAUAGAGCCCAUUGUCGCCCCAUAGAGCCCAUUAUCACCCCAUAGAACCUAUGAUUGCCCCAUAGAGCCCAUUGUUACUCCGUAGAGCCCAUCGUCACCCCAUAGAGCCCAUCAUCACCCCAUAGACCCCUCUGCCACCCCAUAGAGCCCAUUGUUACCCCACAGAGCCCAUUAUCACCCCAUAGAACCUAUUGUUACCCCAUAGAGCCCAUUGUUGCCCUAUAGAACCUAUUGUUACCCCAUAGAGCCCAUUAUCACCCCAUAGAGCCCAUUAUCACCCCAUAGAACCUAUUAUCACCCCAUUGAACCCAUUGUCACCCCAUGGAGGCCAUUGUCGCCCCAUAGACCCCAUGGCCACCCCACAGACCCCACAGUCAUCCCCCCCCCCUGUCGUCCCCCCUUUUGUCCCCACCCCUUUGUCCCCACCCCCACCCCAUAAAGGCACCGCAGCCCGCAGUGCCACCACCGCUGCGGGACCGUGAGUCCUCCUGACCCCAUUCCUGACCCCAUUCCUGACCCCAUAUCUGUCCCCAACUUUGUCCCCAUCCCUGACCCCACAUUUGCCCCUUUGACCCCAAAUUUCUCCCUCUUUCCCCACCCCUCACCCCAAAUUUGCCCCUUUGGCCCCAAUUUUGCCCCUCCAUCCCCAUCUCUGACCCCAUAUUAUCCCCCCGUCCCCACUCCUGACCCCAAAUUUCCCCCUCUGCCCCCAUAUUAUCCCCCCAUCCCCACCUCUGACCCCAAAUUUGUCCCUCUGUCCCCAUUUUGUCCCCACCCUGACUCCAAAUUUGUCCCUUUGACCCCAUAUUUCCCCCUCUGACCCCAUAUUGUCCCUCCAUCCCCAUCCCUGACCCCAUAUUGUCCCUCAGUCUCUAUCCCUGACCCCAAAUUUGUCCCUUUGACCCCAAAUUUCCCUCUCUGCCCCCAUACUGUCCCUCCAUCACCACCCCUGACCCCAAAUUUGUCCCCAAAUUUGUCCCUUUGACCCCAAAUCUCCCCCUCUGCCCCCAUAUUAUCCCUCCAUCCCCACCCCUGACCCCAAAUCUCCCCCUCUGCCCCCAUAUUAUCCCUCCAUCCCCACCCCUGACCCCAAAUCUCCCCCUCUGCCCCCAUAUUAUCCCUCCAUCCCCAUCCCUGACCCCAAAUUUGUCCCUUUGACCGCAAAUCUCCCCCUCUGCCCCCAUAUUAUCCCUCCAUCCCCACCCCUGACCCCAAAUCUCCCCCUCUGCCCCCCAUAUUAUCCCUCCAUCCCCACCCCUGACCCCAAAUUUGUCCCUUUGACCCCAAAUCUGUCCCUCCAUCCCCAUCCCUGACCCCAUAUUGUCCCUCAGUCCCCAUCCCCUGACCCCAAAUUUGUCCCUUUGACCCCAAAUCUCCCCCUCUGCCCCCAUAUUAUCCCUCCAUCCCCACCCCUGACCCCAAAUCUCCCCCUCUGCCCCCAUAUUAUCCCUCCAUCCCCACCUCUGACCCCAAAUUUGUCCCUUUGACCCCAAAUUUCCCCCUCUGACUCCAUUUUGCCCCUCCAUCCCCAUCCCUGACCCCAAAUCUCCCCCUCUGCCCCCAUAUUAUCCCUCCAUCCCCACCCCUGACCCCAAAUUUGUCCCCAAAUUUGUCCCUUUGACCGCAAAUCUCCCCCUCUGCCCCCAUAUUAUCCCUCCAUCCCCACCCCUGACCCCAAAUCUCCCCCUCUGCCCCCAUACCGCCCCUCCGUCCCCACCGUUGUCCCCAUGUCCCCCCCCGUCACCUGGGGGGUGGCCCUGGGGGUGGCCCUGGGCGCUGUGGGGUGGGCGCUGUUGGUUUCCUCUCUGCCCCACAGUGCCUGGGGGGUGGGGGGGGGGCAGGUGACGGUGGUGGCGUCUGUCACCAACACCCGCGGGCUGUGGAGCGAUUGUGUCACCGACGCCAGCGGGGGUGACAUCGUGUGUCCCACUGCAGUCACUGCUCACACUGCCCGCUCUGGGUGCCGCCGGUGCCUCCGUGUGGUUUGGGGUCGCUGUCACUCAGGAGUUCUUCGACCCCCAACAUUCGAGCGUCAGUCUCCCCCUGGGGGGCCCCCCCCCGGCCCCGAGGAGCAUCUGCUGCCAGUUUGGGGGACAAAUACCGGCCGCAACGCCUACGUGUGACACCCCCCUCCCCCCCCCCCCCAAAAAAAAGGGGGACCCCCCCCCCCCCCCUCAGGACUGUGGGGACCCCCCCACAGGAAAAUUGGGGAUCCCUCACUCCGGAUCUUGGGACACCAAAGGACCCCCCCAGGAACAUUGGAGGACCCCCCUCCCCUUCAGGACUGUGCGACCCCCCCCCCAAAAAAAGGGGGACCCCCCUCAGGACUGUGGGGACCCUCUGGGACCAUGGGGACCCCCCCCAGGAAAACGGGGAUCCCCCUCUCCGGAUCAUGGGGACACCAAAGGACCCCCCAGGAACAUUGGAGGACCCCCCCUCUUCCCCUCCUCAGAACUGUGGGACCCCCCCCGACAGAAAAAGGGGGACCCCCCCCCCCCAGCACUGUGGGGACCCUCUGGGACCCUGGGGACCCCCCCAGGAAAAUUGGGGAUCCCCCUCUCCGGAUCAUGGGGACAGCGAAGGACCCCCCAGGAACAUUGGAGGACCCCCCCCCCCUCCCCUCAGAUUGAGGGGGAUCCCCCAGGACUGUGGGACCCCCCCAAAAAAAGGGGGACCCCCCCCCCUCCUCAGGACUGUGGGGACCCUCUGGGACCGUGGGGACCCCCCCCCCAAAAAAAAGAAACCGAAGACCCAAAGGAUAAUGGAAAACGAGACCCCCAAAUACAUGGGGACAACCCCAAGGAUGAUGACCCCCCCACAAGGAAAAUAAGAGCCCCCCUCCCUCCCCCCAAGAACCGUGGGGAGUUCCAAUGGGCGAUGGGGACCCCCCCCCCCCCCCCACCGAAAAUGGGGACCCCCCCCAGGGAUGAUGGAGACCCCAAAAAGACGACGGGGAGCCCUUAUGGACAUGGGGACCCCCCCCCGAACAACGAGGACUUAAAUGGACACGGAGACCCCCCCCCCCCCCCCAAAGAAAAUGAGGAUCCCCAGGAGCAUAAGGAUUAAGGAUCCCCCCCUCCCCCCCCCCCCAAAAAAUAACUGGAACUGGAAGACAACGGGGAUCCCCACCGGGACAAUGGGGACCCCCCCCCCCCCGCCGAGGAGAUUGGGGACCCCCCCCGAAGAGAUUGGGGACCACUGAGGACAAUGGGAACCCCAAUGGAUGUGGGACCCCCCCCCACUCCCCACUAAGGAAAAUGGGGACCCCCAGGAGCAUGGAGAUUCCCCC